rnacentral:rRNA from 1 species
UUACCAUGCAAGUCGAACGAUGAAGCCCAGCUUGCUGGGUGGAUUAGUGGCGAACGGGUGAGUAACACGUGAGUAACCUGCCCUUAACUCUGGGAUAAGCCUGGGAAACUGGGUCUAAUACCGGAUAGGAGCGUCCACCGCAUGGUGGGUGUUGGAAAGAUUUAUCGGUUUUGGAUGGACUCGCGGCCUAUCAGCUUGUUGGUGAGGUAAUGGCUCACCAAGGCGACGACGGGUAGCCGGCCUGAGAGGGUGACCGGCCACACUGGGACUGAGACACGGCCCAGACUCCUACGGGAGGCAGCAGUGGGGAAUAUUGCACAAUGGGCGCAAGCCUGAUGCAGCGACGCCGCGUGAGGGAUGACGGCCUUCGGGUUGUAAACCUCUUUCAGUAGGGAAGAAGCGAAAGUGACGGUACCUGCAGAAGAAGCACCGGCUAACUACGUGCCAGCAGCCGCGGUAAUACGUAGGGUGCGAGCGUUAUCCGGAAUUAUUGGGCGUAAAGAGCUCGUAGGCGGUUUGUCGCGUCUGUCGUGAAAGUCCGGGGCUUAACCCCGGAUCUGCGGUGGGUACGGGCAGACUAGAGUGCAGUAGGGGAGACUGGAAUUCCUGGUGUAGCGGUGGAAUGCGCAGAUAUCAGGAGGAACACCGAUGGCGAAGG